AUGAUCACAUAUCACUUAUUGAUUGAGAUUUUUGUGGUUAGCAUAAGGGUGAUGAGAUUUAUAUGGCGAACAAUAAUAGGAUUUAUGCUUUGUGGGAGCUGGCUAUGUUAUUGUAUUGAAUUUUAAGUAAUGAUAGGGCCAUCCAUUUCAUGUAUCCCCAACUAAUAUUUUGGGAUUUUUCUUUCUUCUGCAUUAUCUUGUUUAAAUCCCUUCUUUAUCUUUUUUUUUUUCUUUAUCUUUGUUAAAAUAGUUGGGGACCGC
rnacentral:lncRNA from 1 species